rnacentral:rRNA from 1 species
GGGUUGUGAGGUUAAGCGACUAAGCGUACACGGUGGAUGCCACGGCAGUCAGAGGCGAUGAAGGGCGUGCUAAUCUGCGAUAAGCGCCGGUAAGGUGAUAUGAACCGUUAUAACCGGCGAUACCCGAAUGGGGAAACCCAGUGUGAUUCGUCACACUAUCAUUAACUGAAUCCAUAGGUUAAUGAGGCGAACCGGGGAACUGAAACAUCUAAGUACCCCGAGGAAAAGAAAUCAACCGAGAUUCCCCAGUAGCGGCGAGCGAACGGGGAGGAGCCCAGAGCCUGAAUCAGCAUGUGUGUUAGUGGAAGCGUCUGGAAAGGCGCGCGAUACAGGGUGACAGCCCCGUACACAAAAGCGCAUGUGCUGUGAGCUCGAUGAGUAGGGCGGGACACGUGGUAUCCUGUCUGAAUAUGGGGGGACCAUCCUCCAAGGCUAAAUACUCCUGACUGACCGAUAGUGAACCAGUACCGUGAGGGAAAGGCGAAAAGAACCCCGGCGAGGGAGUGAAAAAGAACCUGAAACCGUGUACGUACAAGCAGUGGGAGCACCCUUCGGGGUGUGACUGCGUACCUUUGUAUAAUGGGUCAGCGACUUAUAUUCUGUAGCAAGGUUAACCGUAUAGGGGAGCCGCAGGGAAACCGAGUCUUAACCGGGCGUUAAGUUGCAGGGUAUAGACCCGAAACCCGGUGAUCUAGCCAUGGGCAGGUUGAAGGUUGGGUAACACUAACUGGAGGACCGAACCGACUAAUGUUGAAAAAUUAGCGGAUGACCUGUGGCUGGGGGUGAAAGGCCAAUCAAACCGGGAGAUAGCUGGUUCUCCCCGAAAGCUAUUUAGGUAGCGCCUCGUGAAUUCAUCUCCGGGGGUAGAGCACUGUUUCGGCUAGGGGGCCAUCCCGGCUUACCAACCCGAUGCAAACUGCGAAUACCGGAGAAUGUUAUCACGGGAGACACACGGCGGGUGCUAACGUCCGUCGUGAAGAGGAAACAACCCAGACCGCCAGCUAAGGUCCCAAAGUCAUGGUUAAGUGGGAAACGAUGUGGGAAGGCCCAGACAGCCAGGAUGUUGGCUUAGAAGCAGCCAUCAUUUAAAGAAAGCGUAAUAGCUCACUGGUCGAGUCGGCCUGCGCGGAAGAUGUAACGGGGCUAAACCAUGCACCGAAGCUGCGGCAGCGACGCUUAUGCGUUGUUGGGUAGGGGAGCGUUCUGUAAGCCUGCGAAGGUGGCCUGUGAGGGUUGCUGGAGGUAUCAGAAGUGCGAAUGCUGACAUAAGUAACGAUAAAGCGGGUGAAAAGCCCGCUCGCCGGAAGACCAAGGGUUCCUGUCCAACGUUAAUCGGGGCAGGGUGAGUCGACCCCUAAGGCGAGGCCGAAAGGCGUAGUCGAUGGGAAACGGGUUAAUAUUCCCGUACUUGGUGUUACUGCGAAGGGGGACGGAGAAGGCUAUGUUGGCCGGGCGACGGUUGUCCCGGUUUAAGCGUGUAGGUGUGUGUUCCAGGUAAAUCCGGUUCACUUUAACACUGAGGCGUGACGACGAGGCACUACGGUGCUGAAGCAACAAAUGCCCUGCUUCCGGAAAAGCCUCUAAGCAUCAGGUAACAUCAAAUCGUACCCCAAACCGACACAGGUGGUCAGGUAGAGAAUACCAAGGCGCUUGAGAGAACUCGGGUGAAGGAACUAGGCAAAAUGGUGCCGUAACUUCGGGAGAAGGCACGCUGACACGUAGGUGAAGUGAUUUACUCAUGGAGCUGAAGUCAGUCGAAGAUACCAGCUGGCUGCAACUGUUUAUUAAAAACACAGCACUGUGCAAACACGAAAGUGGACGUAUACGGUGUGACGCCUGCCCGGUGCCGGAAGGUUAAUUGAUGGGGUCAGCGCAAGCGAAGCUCCUGAUCGAAGCCCCGGUAAACGGCGGCCGUAACUAUAACGGUCCUAAGGUAGCGAAAUUCCUUGUCGGGUAAGUUCCGACCUGCACGAAUGGCGUAAUGAUGGCGGCUGUCUCCACCCGAGACUCAGUGAAAUUGAACUCGCUGUGAAGAUGCAGUGUACCCGCGGCAAGACGGAAAGACCCCGUGAACCUUUACUAUAGCUUGACACUGAACAUUGAGCCUUGAUGUGUAGGAUAGGUGGGAGGCUUUGAAGUGUGGACGCCAGUCUGCGUGGAGCCGACCUUGAAAUACCACCCUUUAAUGUUUGAUGUUCUAACGUGGACCCGUGAUCCGGGUUGCGGACAGUGUCUGGUGGGUAGUUUGACUGGGGCGGUCUCCUCCUAAAGAGUAACGGAGGAGCACGAAGGUUGGCUAAUCCUGGUCGGACAUCAGGAGGUUAGUGCAAUGGCAUAAGCCAGCUUGACUGCGAGCGUGACGGCGCGAGCAGGUGCGAAAGCAGGUCAUAGUGAUCCGGUGGUUCUGAAUGGAAGGGCCAUCGCUCAACGGAUAAAAGGUACUCCGGGGAUAACAGGCUGAUACCGCCCAAGAGUUCAUAUCGACGGCGGUGUUUGGCACCUCGAUGUCGGCUCAUCACAUCCUGGGGCUGAAGUAGGUCCCAAGGGUAUGGCUGUUCGCCAUUUAAAGUGGUACGCGAGCUGGGUUUAGAACGUCGUGAGACAGUUCGGUCCCUAUCUGCCGUGGGCGCUGGAGAACUGAGGGGGCUGCUCCUAGUACGAGAGGACCGGAGUGGACGCAUCACUGGUGUUCGGGUUGUCAUGCCAAUGGCACUGCCCGGUAGCUAAAUGCGGAAGAGAUAAGUGCUGAAAGCAUCUAAGCACGAAACUUGCCCCGAGAUGAGUUCUCCCUGAGACUUUAGGUCUCCUGAAGGAACGUUGAAGACGACGACGUUGAUAGGCCGGGUGUGUAAGCGCAGCGAUGCGUUGAGCUAACCGGUACUAAUGAACCGUGAGGCUUAACCUUACAACGCCGAAG